GCACAUUUCCUUUGUAUCGGGUUAGAAACGCCGGGUAAGGUUUCUGUGCGCCAGUACAACAGAAAAACUUGAAGACAUUAUGACGACGACGAUAAAAUGAAAGCCUCAAGAAACCGCUCAAUUAGUGCUGGGAUUCUUAUAGCUUUCUGUUUUGCAGGAAUUUUUGUUUCUGGGGGAUUUGUCUCUCGCGGAUGGAAUCAGACGCCUCUUCGAAAGGACGACAAAAGCAAAAAUAGAUUCGAAGACGACCGUAGUUCCAGUGAAUUGGUCAUCGAUGCCACGCUUAGAGAGCUGUCACGCCACUGGUUGGAAUGCUACUUCAACAAGACCGCUAAAUAUGAUAGCGUCCAUGUCCAGGCUAGACGGCUUUUUAGUUUUGAAACAUAUGAUGUUUCUGAAAGUGAUCGAAAACUUCUUGAAGAAACAACGCAAGAAUACUUGAAAACCAAAAGAACAUUAACUGGACAUCGAGCAGAUGGCAAUGAAAAACAAGAGGAGAAUUCGGAAUUCGAUGUUAGAGAAAAUCAAAGUGGUGAAAAUGGAAAAAGAACAUCGCAAAAUCUGGAAAAUGAAAGUAAAACGGAAAAAGAACAACAACCCAACAGUAAUAGGAGAUUUCAAAAGAUGCGAAAGCGCAUGCGUCGUGAUGUGACAGAAUCAGUAUUAGUGAGAGAGGGAAUUAUGAAAAUCACAGAUGGAGUGGAAUGGAGUGACGAUUUCCUGAAUAAAACCUCCGAAGCGUACCAACAACUUGAGGAGAUGGUUCUGACUGUGAUUGAUACACUUUUCCAGAACAGCCCAAUCGCUAGUUACUUUUACGGCUCCUUUAUUAAUGAUUUUAGGAAAGGAAGUGUGAUUGUUCUUUUUACCAUUGAGUUUAAAAACGACACCAAUACUACACAUACUGAUGAAAGUAUCAAUGAGGCAUUUCACGAGGCACUGCUUAAUGCCAGCGCCUUCACAAAUCUCACUCUGGAUCUCAACAGUUCCAAAAUAGGUAACGUACAAGACGAAACAACAACAAUUCUCACUACGACUGGUUCCACUACAAACUCAACCAGCACCGCCACCGAAAUUGGUGACACCACUGCUACCCCAACACAAACAGAUGACAUCGAUACUACGAUUGGCACCACUACUGUAAAAAAAGACACCACCGCAACCUCAAAUCAAUUAGAAAACACGGACACUACUAUCGUUACCACCACAGACACAGUGAACACUGUUGACACCAGCGCCAUAAUCGACAGCACCACCAACACAGCUUAUACCGCCACCAUUACUCCAGCAGGUGACAUCGUCACUACCACGGAAACACGUGACUCCUCCACAGUUACCAGCACAGAAACAGACGAGAAGACUACAACGACCCCGAUAGUUCCCACUUCUACAAUAAUCGGCACAAUUACUGAUUCAGCUGACACGACCUUCAUCACACAGACAGCUUCGUCUGAGGAUCAAACAACAACAGGCGCAGGCCUCCAUGUGGAUACAACAACCAAACAACAGUCCACUGAAUCAUCAACUACAAUACAAUUUUCUCCAAACAUUGAUAAGACAACACAACAAUCUACAGAAUCUUCAUCAGCAUCGUCCUCCGAGAAUCACAGAUCCACAGAAAUUACCAGCAACUCAGCAGUCGGUAGAAAUCUCAACUCCCCAAACAACAAACACAUCAAAAGCUUCUACAACUGUGCAAACAACAUCGUCAUUCACAAAAGACAAUACUUUGAUUACUUCUCAGUCGUCCCUUAAUAUUGAUUCAACAACAACCGAAGCAUCCACAACAUAUUUACCAUCAACAAUGACCGACGAAAGCCCCAGAACCUCUGUUCAGAUAUCUCAAGAUACAACUACAAUACCAAUUACAUCAUCUGAAGACCAAGCCGCAACUACAACACAAACCACUACACAUAUCGAUUCGACUUCUACAGAGCAGCAAGCGGAACCUACAUCUACAUCCCUGAAAGAGGACGAGUCAACCAGUUUUAUUCCACCAUCAUCAACUAAAGAUAUAGGCGGGUCAUCACAAUCAACAUCAACAAUUGAAACUGAAUCAACUACAAAAGAAAGUUUAAUUCAUACUUCAACAGAAACGUUAUUAUCUUCAUCAACUCUUACCACAUUAGGCAAUACUGCUGACACGAUACAAACAACGCACACGACAAUGUCAGAAGAAGUUUCAUCAACAGACUCACUUACUGACAAAACUGCAGAAGCCACACUGUCCACAGAAAAUUCUACAAUUAUUAUUUCACAGUCACAAAGUUCAACACCAUCUUCAGAAUCAUCACCAACAGUAACUUCAACUAUGAUGAGUUUACAGACAACAACAUUAUCAAAUGAAUCCCCAUCAAUGACACCAACUAGUAAAACAACUGAUUUACUAACAACUUCAGCAGAAUAUAGCUCAUCAACGACUAUAAUAGAUUCUUCCACAGAAAUCCCAUCAACCAUGAUCAUGACAGAAUCAUCAUCACAAAAUGAAAUGCCAUCAACUACAGUUUCAACGACACAAAUGAGCUCAACCGAAAAAGCUGCAACAUCAGAACCUACGACGUCAAACACUGUCAUUUCAAGUGAGAGAACAACGAGUAAUGUUCCGCCAUCAUCAACGCAAGAUAUCAUUGCUACGUCAGAUGUUACGUCACAGACAACAAACACUUCUACAACAGCAUUACUAUCAACAAUCAAAUCUACCAGUACCACCCCUUCUUCUACAACCAGUACAUUACCUACCACGACGAUUGGCAGUAUUCUGUCAACCAUGGUUGGUAACAUUUUGACAACCACGAGUAACGCUGGAAAGUUAACAACUUUGGGAGUGUUGUCGACCACAACAACAACAGCGCCUGCCGUAAUUCCGGAUGAGGAAGUAUCAGGUGUAAUCAAGAUUGAAGAAGAGUUUGACCAAUCUUUACUUGAUCCAACCUCCGAUGCGUUUAAAAAGAAAGUUGCUGAGAUAUUACAACUGCUGGAGAAAUUAUUUU
rnacentral:sRNA from 1 species